CUUAUCAAGAGUGACGGAGGGAACAGGCCCUUUGAUGUCCGGCAACCUGCAUUUUGCAAGGUGCUAAUUCCUGCGGCAUGGCAAUGCCGAAAGAUGAGG
rnacentral:ncRNA from 1 species